rnacentral:lncRNA from 1 species
CAUGUGGUGUGUGAGGGGUUGAAUUACGCUAUAUAAGCAUCGAGGGCUUCCCAUACUUGUUUGGAGGGAGACCUUUUAACAGUUAUCAAAUAGCUUUUUGAUCCACUGUUUGUUGAUGCCAGUUUCUAUCCUCUUCUACAAGAAUGCAGGCAAUUGAUGUAUGUAUUACUCUCUAUUGAGGUGUGUGUGUGUGUAUGUGUGUGUGUGUGUGUGUGUGUGUGUGUGUGUGUGUGU